CCGUCUGGUAGCCGCCAUAAAGCCGAGGCAGCGCUGAGCCCGCGUCCACCAGCACCCGGGCCCCGGGCAGCGGAGGGGGCGGCGGCGGCGGCGGCGGGUGCAGCCCGGGGUGCGCCUGGCCGUGAUGGUGGAAGUGGUGGAAAUGGUGCGCACUUGGACCGGUGGCUGAUAAAGGGAUCACCUAGGAGAGAAUACCUUGGAGUCAUUGUCAUUAAAUCAAGCAAUUCUCAAAAUGCUGCCCUGGAUGCCCCCAAAUGAUAGCAACAGAAUCUUCAUGAUGCUGAGUGUGAUCCUCAGGUAAGUAACAUAAGACACAUUUUUUUUUUG